UAGUCCACACCGUAAACGCUGUCUACUAGCUGUAUGUUUUUUAUAAGAUGUGUGGCGUAGCUAACGCGCUAAGUAGACCGCCUGGGGAGUACGGCCGCAAGGUUAAAACUCAAAUGAAUUGACGGGGCCCGCACAAGCGGUGGAGCAUGUGGUUUAAUUCGAUGCAAUGCGAAGAACCUUACCUACACUUGACAUGCAGAGAACUUUCCAGAGAUGGAUUGGUGCCUUCGGGAACUCUGACACAGGUGCUGCAUGGCUGUCGUCAGCUCGUGUCGUGAGAUGUUGGGUUAAGUCCCGCAACGAGCGCAACCCUUGUCCUUAGUUGCCAGCAUUCAGUUGGGCACUCUAAGGAGACUGCCGGUGACAAACCGGGAGGAAGGUGGGGGACGACGUCAAGGUCAUCAUGGCCCUUACGUGUAGGGGCUACACACGUGCUACAAUGGCAGAUACAAAGGGG
rnacentral:rRNA from 1 species